rnacentral:rRNA from 1 species
GACAGAGGUGCCAAGCGUUAGGCGGAAUCACUGGGCUUAAAGCGUGUGUAGGCGGACGCCUAAGUACCUUGUGAAAUCCCACGGCUCACCCGUGGAACUGCUUGGUAUACUGGUUGUCUUGAGCCUUCUAGGGGCGAGUGGAACAAAUGGUGGAGCGGUGAAAUGCGUAGAUAUCAUUUGGAACGCCAAUGGUGAAAACAACUCGCUGGGGAAGUGCUGACGCUGAGACACGAAAGCCAGGGGAGCGAACGGG